AACGAACGCUGGCGGCAUGCCUAACACAUGCAAGUCAAACGAGACCUUCGGGUCUAGUGGCGCACGGGUGCGUAACGCGUGGGAACCUGCCCUUAGGUUCGGAAUAACUCCCCGAAAGGGGUGCUAAUACCGGAUAAUGUCUUCGGACCAAAGAUUUAUCGCCUUUGGAUGGGCCCGCGUUGGAUUAGCUAGUUGGUAGGGUAAAAGCCUACCAAGGCGACGAUCCAUAGCUGGUCUGAGAGGAUGAUCAGCCACACUGGGACUGAGACACGGCGCAGACUCCUACGGGAGGCAGCAGUGGGGAAUAUUGGACAAUGGGCGAAAGCCUGAUCCAGCAAUGCCGCGUGAGUGAUGAAGGCCUUAGGGUUGUAAAGCUCUUUUACCCGGGAUGAUAAUGACAGUACCGGGAGAAUAAGCUCCGGCUAACUCCGUG
rnacentral:rRNA from 1 species